AUGUUGGAGUCUUCGAAACGUCCGCUCCACGAGCACACUGAGCUUUGUCAGUUGGAUGCCAUCUCACAAGUAAUGGCUCUGAAGGCUCAGUUCAACUUGGGCAGAGAAUGCUAUGACGCAAUUAUGACAGUAUUUGGACGCUUUCUACCCAAAGGCCAUGUAAUGCCUGCAAACCUGUACCAGUCGGACAAAAUCCUCCGUGCACUGAAGAUGCCCUAUGAGAAGAUACAUGCCUGUGAGAAAGGAUGUGCCUUAUUUAGGCUUGACUAUGCGGACUUGAACUAUUGUCCCAUUUGCAAGUCUUCCAGGUAUAUUGUGGUAGACAACGUAUGGGUGAGAAGACACAGACCAAAAUCCCCGUUAGUGUUCUUCGGUAUAUACCAAUCGUACCAAGACUUCAACGUCUUUUCAUGGUCGAAGAGAUGGCCAGACAGAUGA
rnacentral:rRNA from 1 species